UACGUAGGGGCCUAGCGUUGUCCGGAUUUAUUGGGCGUAAAGAGCUCGUAGGCGGUUUGGUAAGUCGGGUGUGAAAUCUCCACGCUCAACGUGGAGGGGCCACCCGAUACUGCCAUGACUGGAGUCCGGUAGGGGAGUGUGGAAUUCCCGGUGUAGCGGUGAAAUGCGUAGAGAUCGGGAGGAACACCAGUGGCGAAGGCGGCUACCUGGACCAGCACUGACACUGAGGCGCGACAGCGUGGGGAGCAAACAGG
rnacentral:rRNA from 1 species